rnacentral:lncRNA from 1 species
GGGAGAAGCCAAGCAGGUGCCACUCACUGCUGAAGAACAUGUGCCCAGGAGCAUGAAGAAGUGGCUGAGGACCUGCUGGAGCCCCUGGCCUACUCCUUCCCUUCUUGUCUGCACACAACCUUGCCUCCUGCUUCAGGGGAAGUAGGAGCCAUCAAGGAGAACUCCCAGAGUUUUCUACUUCCCCACAGCAAACGCAUCUCCACCCAUAAUUGUCUCUCCUCUCACAGGACACGAGAGAGCAACCUCCCUCUGCUCCCAGGCCAUCCUGACACAGACCCUCAUUACUGCCCUGUCUCCUAUUUGUAAUUCUCCCCCACUCUGCCUCCAGAAAACAUUGGCUACAUUAAUACCUUGCCUGUGGUGAAU